rnacentral:rRNA from 1 species
ACGGAAGGCAGCAGUGGGGAAUAUUGCACAAUGGGGGAAACCCUGAUGCAGCAACGCCGCGUGAGUGAUGACGGUCUUCGGAAUGUAAAGCUCUGUCUUUGGGGACGAUAAUGACGGUACCCAAGGAGGAAGCCACGGCUAACUACGUGCCAGCAGCCGCGGUAAUACGUAGGUGGCGAGCGUUGUCCGGAUUUACUGGGCGUAAAGGGAGCGUAGGCGGAUUCUUAAGUGGGAUGUGAAAUACCCGGGCUUAACCUGGGUGCUGCAUUCCAAACUGGGAAUCUAGAGUGCAGGAGGGGAGAGUGGAAUUCCUAGUGUAGCGGUGAAAUGCGUAGAGAUUAGGAAGAACACCAGUGGCGAAGGCGACUCUCUGGACUGUAACUGACGCUGAGGCUCGAAAGCGUGGGGAGCAAACAGGAUUAGAUACCCUGGUA